CGUAGGUGGCAAGCGUUGUCCGGAAUUAUUGGGCGUAAAGGGCGCGUAGGCGGUACCUUAAGUCAGAUGUGAAAACCCGAGGCUUAACUUCGGAGGUGCAUUUGAAACUGGGGAACUAGAGUGCAGGAGAGGUAAGUGGAAUUCCUAGUGUAGCGGUGAAAUGCGUAGAUAUUAGGAGGAACACCAGUGGCGAAGGCGACUUACUGGACUGUAACUGACGCUGAGGCGCGAAAGCGUGGGGAGCAAACAGGAUUAGAUACCCUGGUAGUCCACGCUGUAAACGAUGGAUACUAGGUGUGGGAGGUAUCGACCCCUUCGUGCCGCAGUAAACGCAAUAAGUAUCCCGCCUGGGGAGUACGGCCGCAAGGUUG
rnacentral:rRNA from 1 species